GCCUGGGUGGCUCAGUCGGUUAAGUGUCUGACUUCGGCUCAGGUCAUGAUCUCGCAGUUCGUGGGUUCAACCCCUGCAUCGGGCU
rnacentral:tRNA from 1 species